CAGUGUGGUACUUUGAAAACUCUAGUUUCGCAGCAGCCCGUUUAUAAGAGGUCGUUUUAAGAACGCAACGUCACCGUUUAGCGCAGUGGUUGAAAGUGAGCGAGAGCCAGGAACUGAAAAGCUUGGUGUUCCCGAUUCUCUGGUCCGCCGCGCCCACCUUAUCCGAUCCCCGGUUUUUCGUUCCUGCUCUGGUCACCGCCAUGCGGGUGAAGGUGAAGCGGUGGAACGCCAUCGCCACUUGGUUUUGGGUGGCAAAUGAUGAGAAUUGUGGCAUUUGCCGGACGGCGUUUAAUGGCUGCUGCCCAGACUGUAAAGUUCCUGGAGAUGACUGUCCAUUGGUUUGGGGCCAGUGCUCUCAUUGUUUCCACAUGCACUGUAUCCUGAAAUGGCUGAAUUCUCAGCAAGUACAGCAGCAUUGUCCAAUGUGUCGACAAGAGUGGAAGUUCAAGGAAUGACAAGAUCAUUGAGUACGAGAGUUGCAAACUCAUUUUCGCCGUAUUGGUGCAGGACAAAUUGUACUAUGCAAUGACAAUAAAGGUGUUCACAAUAGGACAAAGAAGUACAGCAGAAUCAAUGAGAAACUACACACAAAGACUGACAAGCAAGCAAUGAGCAAAAGAGGACAAACUGCAAAUACCAAUAAAUAAUGAAAUAAGUAAGUAAUGCUGAGAACAUCAAUAUAAUGGAAAACUUUGGUAAAUCAUUAAUUUAAAAAAUUUAUUGCAACAUUACUCAAGCAUGCUCAUUUAAUCUGUGAGUGUUGACAGCACUAAAAGGAAAUUUCAUUUGAAAACAUUCUCAGAGUCAGUAGAUUAACUGAGAAAACUGCUGCUUUCUUACGCAGCUAGUCUAAAUAACUCAAUCAGCUUGAAACUCUGAUAACUCUGAUAUUUAAACAAAAUCACAAUGAGACACCAAAUAAACAUCUACAAGUAAUCUACAUACUAUGACCCUCUCUUUUGUUUUGAUCUAAGUAAUUUAAAAAGAUUAUCAGUUUAAUCUUUUCGGAGACCAUUGAUGGACUAAAUGCAAAUGUUUGUACAUGCAGGCAUUUUGGAUGAAUGAUUAAAUACUUGUUUUGG